CCUACGGGACGCAGCAGUGGGGAAUAUUGCACAAUGGGGGAAACCCUGAUGCAGCGACGCCGCGUGAGUGAAGAAGUAAUUCGUUAUGUAAAGCUCUAUCAGCAGGGAAGAAAAUGACGGUACCUGAGUAAGAAGCCCCGGCUAACUACGUGCCAGCAGCCGCGGUAAUACGUAGGGGGCAAGCGUUAUCCGGAUUUACUGGGUGUAAAGGGAGCGUAGACGGUAUGGCAAGUCUGAUGUGAAAACCCGGGGCUCAACCCCGGGACUGCAUUGGAAACUGUCGGAUUAGAGUGUCGGAGA
rnacentral:rRNA from 1 species